ACCGCCACGGUGACUUGCAAGCAACUCACUGCACUUAAGCACUGGACUAUCUGAAUUUCUAAUUCAGUGACGAAAGGCUGCUGGGUGUAGUCAAGUACUUGACUUGUCGGUGCGUGUGUCAAGAUGGGAUUGACCACUCCAGUUUAGGAGCUGUGUACAGUCGUGUUUCAAUUUAGCAAAAUCUUGGUCAGGGUAGUCUUUGUGAGGAGUCACAGGACU
rnacentral:lncRNA from 1 species